rnacentral:tRNA from 1 species
GGGGUUCUAGCUCAUCGGUAGAGCGCUCCCUUAGCAUGGGAGAAGCAGUGGGUUCGACUCCUACGUACUCCA